rnacentral:rRNA from 1 species
GUAGGGUGCAAGCGUUAAUCGGGAAUUACUGGGGCGUAAAGCGUGCGCAGGCGGUUUUGUAAGGUCUGUCGUGAAAGCCCCCGGGGCUUAACCUGGGGAAUUGCGAUGGAGACUGCAAGGCUUGAAUCUGGCAGAGGGGGUAGAAUUCCACGUGUAGCAGUGAAAUGCGUAGAGAUGUGGAGGAACACCGAUGGCGAAGGCAGCCCCCUGGGUCAAGAUUGACGCUCAUGCACGAAAGCGUGGGGAGCAAACAGGAUUAGAUACCCUGGUAGUCCACGCCCUAAACGAUGUCUACUAGUUGUCGGGUCUUAAUUGACUUGGUAACGCAGCUAACGCGUGAAGUAGACCGCCUGGGGAGUACGGUCGCAAAGAUUAA